UGCGUAGGCGGAAGAAUAAGUCAGUGGUGAAAUCUUGCAGCUUAACUGUAAAACUGCCAUUGAUACUGUUUUUCUUGAGUAUAGUUGAGGUAGGCGGAAUGUGUAAUGUAGCGGUGAAAUGCUUAGAUAUUACACAGAACACCGAUUGCGUAGGCAGCUUACUAAACUAUAACUGACGCUGAGGCACGAAAGCGUGGGGAGCGAACAGGAUUAGAUACCCUGGUAGUC
rnacentral:rRNA from 1 species